ACCCGCACAAGCAGCGGAGCAUGUGGUUAAUUCGAAGCAACGCGAAGAACCUUACCAGGGCUUGACAUGCCGCUGACCGGUUUAGAGAUAGAUCUUUACCCUUCGGGUACAGCGGACACAGGUGCUGCAUGGCCGUCGUCAGCUCGUGCCGUGAGGUGUUGGGUUAAGUCCCGCAACGAGCGCAACCCCGCCGUUAGUUGCCAGCGGUUCGGCCGGGCACUCUAACGGGACUGCCCGCGAAAGCGGGAGGAAGGAGGGGACGACGUCUGGUCAGCAUGGCCCUUACGGCCUGGGCGACACACGUGCUACAAUGCCCACUACAAAGCGAUGCCACCCGGCAACGGGGAGCUAAUCGCAAAAAGGUGGGCCCAGUUCGGAUUGGGGUCUGCAACCCGACCCCAUGAAGCCGGAAUCGCUAGUAAUCGCGGAUCAGCCAUGCCGCGGUGAAUACGUUCCCGGGCCUU
rnacentral:rRNA from 1 species